CACGUAGGGUGCGAGCGUUGUCCGGAAUUAUUGGGCGUAAAGAGCUCGUAGGCGGUCCGUCACGUCGGAUGUGAAAUUCCAGGGCUCAACCCUGGACCUGCAUUCGAUACGGGCGGACUAGAGUUCGGUAGGGGAGACUGGAAUUCCUGGUGUAGCAGUGAAAUGCGUAGAGAUCAUAAGGAAGACCAGUGGCGAAGGCGGGUCUCUGGACAGUUCCUGACACUGAGGCACGAAGGCCAGGGGAGCAAACGGG
rnacentral:rRNA from 1 species